UACGUAGGGUGCGAGCGUUGUCCGGAAUUAUUGGGCGUAAAGGGCUCGUAGGCGGUUUGUCGCGUCGGGAGUGAAAUCCACUGGCUUAACUGGUGGCUUGCUUUCGAUACGGGCAGACUGGAGGUAUGCAGGGGAGAACGGAAUUCCUGGUGUAGCGGUGAAAUGCGCAGAUAUCAGGAGGAACACCGGUGGCGAGGGCGGUUCUCUGGGCAUGUCCUGACGCUGAGAAGCGAAAGCAUGGGGAGCGAACAGG
rnacentral:rRNA from 1 species